AGUGAACGCUGGCGGUAGGCCUAACACAUGCAAGUCGAACGGCAGCACAGUAAGAGCUUGCUCUUACGGGUGGCGAGUGGCGGACGGGUGAGGAAUACAUCGGAAUCUACUUUUUCGUGGGGGAUAACGUAGGGAAACUUACGCUAAUACCGCAUACGACCUACGGGUGAAAGCAGGGGAUCUUCGGACCUUGCGCGAUUGAAUGAGCCGAUGUCGGAUUAGCUAGUUGGCGGGGUAAAGGCCCACCAAGGCGACGAUCCGUAGCUGGUCUGAGAGGAUGAUCAGCCACACUGGAACUGAGACACGGUCCAGACGCCUACGGGAGGCAGCAGUGGGGAAUAUUGGACAAGGGGCGCAAGCCUGAUCCAGCCAUACCGCGUGGGUGAAGAAGGCCUUCGGGUUGUAAAGCCCUUUUGUUGGGAAAGAAAAGCAGCAGGUUAAUACCCCGCUGUUCUGACGGUACCCAAAGAAUAAGCACCGGCUAACUUCGU
rnacentral:rRNA from 1 species